rnacentral:rRNA from 1 species
CCGAAAGACGAGUGGCGAACGGGUGCGUAACGCGUAUGCAAUCUGCCUUUUACUAGGGUAUAGCCCAGAGAAAUUUGGAUUAAUCCCCUAUAAUAUCAUUUAAUCGCAUGAUUUUAUGAUUAAAGCUUCGGCGGUAAAAGAUGAGCAUGCGUCCUAUUAGUUAGUAGGUGAGGUAACGGCUCACCUAGACUCCGAUAGGUAGGGGUCCUGAGAGGGAGAUCCCCCACACUGGUACUGAGACACGGACCAGACUCCUACGGGAGGCAGCAGUGAGGAAUAUUGGACAAUGGACGAAAGUCUGAUCCAGCUAUGCCGCGUGCAGGAUGACGGCCCUAUGGGUUGUAAACUGCUUUUAUACAGGAAGAAAAACUCCGACGUGUCGGAACUUGACGGUACUGUAAGAAUAAGGAUCGGCUAACUCCGUGCCAGCAGCCGCGGUAAUACGGAGGAUCCAAGCAUUAUCCGGAAUCAUUGGGUUUAAAGGGUCCGUAGGCGGUUUUUUAAGUCAGAGGUGAAAUCCUGCAGCUCAACUGUAGAAUUGCCUUUGAUACUGAAAGACUUGAGUUAUUGUGAAGUGGUUAGAAUGUGUGGUGUAGCGGUGAAAUGCAUAGAUAUCACACAGAAUACCAAUUGCGAAGGCAGAUCACUAACAAUAUACUGACGCUCAGGGACGAAAGCGUGGGUAGCGAACAGGAUUAGAUACCCUGGUAGUCCACGCCGUAAACGAUGGAUACUAGCUGUAUGUCUACUUCAGGUAGAUGUGUGGCU